rnacentral:rRNA from 1 species
UUCCACAAUACUAACAACUUGGUAUUAAUCUGCAACUCUCACAUGGUCGCCCACUGAAGCUAAGCAGGGCUGCGCCCGGUCAGUACCUGGAUGGGAGACCACAUGGGAAAGCUAGGUUGCUGCCGGAA